UCGUUGAGUUCUUUGAGAAUGAAUAGGAUACACAUUCUCUGAACAUCGAGACAAAGUUGAAUGGAAUUGUUCUAGGCUACCAAUGAUCUAUCAAAUCUAAUCCCACAUAUACACAGUGCAAAAAGCAUGAAUGCUCUACAAAACAGCACAUUUCACAAUGUACUAAUACAAAUAUCAAAACUCUUGGCAACAAGCGCAAGCCAAUUGUUUUCAAGGAUCUGAGGAGAGUUUGGGAUAAGUAUGAUCCUAAUCUUCCUUGGGAGAAGGGAUACUACAAUGAAUCGAAUACGUUGCUUUUAGAUGACUCUCCCUACAAGGGUUUACUCAGUCCUCCAUACAAUUCAAUAUAUCCGCCAUCAUUCAAUUGUCGACAAGAGUACUAGUAGUAUUUAAUAGAUCAACUAAGUGAUUAUAAUUUAUGGAAUAAAGAGUACUAGUAGUAUUAGUAGUAUUUAAUAGAUCAACUAAGUGAU